rnacentral:rRNA from 1 species
UACGGAGGGUGCGAACGUUAAUCGGAAUCACUGGGCGUAAAGCGCGCGUAGGCGGUUUGUUAAGUGGGAUGUGAAAUCCCCGGGCUUAACCUGGGAAUUGCAUUUCAAACUGGCCGACUAGAGUACGGUAGAGGGGGGUGGAAUUCCGCGUGUAGCAGUGAAAUGCGUAGAGAUGCGGAGGAACACCGAUGGCGAAGGCAGCCCCCUGGGCCAAUACUGACGCUCAGGCACGAAAGCGUGGGGAGCAAACAGG